rnacentral:rRNA from 1 species
AGGACGAACGCUGGCGGCGUGCUUAACACAUGCAAGUCGAGCGGAAAGGCCCUUCGGGGUACUCGAGCGGCGAACGGGUGAGUAACACGUGAGCAACCUGCCCUUAGCUUCGGGAUAGCUCCGGGAAACCGGAAUUAAUACCGGAUAUGACUAUGGCCGACAUCAGCCAUGGUGGAAAGUUUUUCGGCUAGGGAUGGACUCGCGGCCUAUCAGCUAGUUGGUGAGGUAACGGCUCACCAAGGCGACGACGGGUAGCCGGCCUGAGAGGGCGACCGGCCACACUGGGACUGAGACACGGCCCAGACUCCUACGGGAGGCAGCAGUGGGGAAUAUUGCGCAAUGGGCGAAAGCCUGACGCAGCGACGCCGCGUGGGGAUGAAUGCCUUCGGGUUGUAAACCCCUUUCAGCAGGGACGAAGCGAAAGUGACGGUACCUGCAGAAGAAGCGCCGGCUAACUACGUGCCAGCAGCCGCGA